CAUUCAUGUUUUUAAGUUUGCGAAGGGACCGCUGGAGGUAUCGAUCAUUCAAUUUAUUGUUUGUGACUUCCUUUAGUUGUUUCUGAUCGACUUAUAUUUUUUGCGAUAACUUCCUUCUCUUCGUGAGAUUGUAAUUUUUUUGUACUUUGCAUACUCUAUGCUUGAACUUUCUUCUCGUAGGUUGGUGAUGGUUCGACAUUUAGUAAGGGUGUUUUUCACUUCUGAACUCGUGUCUUACUUGAGGUGACCUUUAAAGUGAGAUGUUUUUUUCUUCGUUAUUCCUUCCAGUUUGCUUUCCUGUAGCUUCAUCCCAUUGAAUUGGGUUUUUUGGAAACGCUUUCGACCUACUGCGGUAAACUCGAUUCACGCCCAACUGUAAAAGACUUUGCUUCUUUUGUGUACUAACCCCUAGGAAUAGGGGAUAAAACUGGGCAAUUGAUUUCCAUGUAAAUCCUCGGGUACAUACUCCCCUCAGAGGUCUUGGCAGCUUAAAGUGCGAGUUGGAUAACUUUGAUUUUGACAUGUACACUCGGUUUGAUUGUGAUUGCAAUGAGCACUGCUUGCAUAUUCUCUACACUUGAACUUUCUUCUCGUAGGUUGGUGAUGGUUCGACAUUUAGUAAGGGUGUUUUUCACUUCUGAACUCGUGUCUUACUUGAGUUGGCCUUUAAAGUGAGAUGUUUUUUUCUUCGUUUUUCAUUCCAGUUUGCUUUCCUGUAGCUUAAUCCCAUUGAAUUGGGUUUUUUGGAAACGCUUUCGACCUACUGCGGUAGACUCGAUUCACGCCCAAUUGUAAAAGACUUUGCUUCUUUUGUGUACUAACCCCUAGGAAUAGGGGAUAAAACUGGGCAAUUGAUUUCCAUGUAAAUCCUCGGGUACAUACUCCCCUCAGAGGUCUUGGCAGCUUAAAGUGCGAGUUUGAUAACGAUGAUUUAACAUGUACACUCGGUUUGAUUGUGAUGGCGAUGAGAUAUGCUUGUAAUGCUUGUACAAUUCUAUAUAAUACUUAACACACUAGAGAACAAACAAUUUUUGACAUACAACCCGUGGCGGGGGAUGUCUCGGCUUCCACAUCGAUGAAGAACGUAGCAAAAUGCGAUAUGUAAUGCGAUUUGCAGAACUCGUGAGUCAUCGAAUUUUUGAACGCAAGUUGCGCUCGCGGGAAAUCCUGCGAGCACGUCUGUUUGAGUGUCCGUACAAAAACUAAAACACUUGUUUUUUAUUUUUCCUUUUGUCGACUUUGUUGCUUGCAAUGAUUUUGACAGUGUUGAGUGUUUCCGUUCACAGUGCAUUUUACAUGUACAGGAUGGUCACUUUAAGUUGAGGGGUACUGUUCCUCGUGAACUUUACCAUUGGCAUGGUUUUUUAAACCUUACUACACCGUUCCCCUUCUACUUUUUAAGUAGUUAGGAGAUGCUCACUUGCCUAUGACUUCGUUUUUCACUUGGAAUUUUUGUCUAGGUACUGAUGUUUUCCUUCGGCUGAGGUGCGAUUGUUGUGAAGUGAUUACUUGAAAUGCAACUAUUCAACAACCUCUGAGGGACGAUAGCUUUACUGUUUGAACUCAAUUUGGACUUGUGAUUUAAGUUGUCGCGCUUGUGUGAUACUAAGACGCGUAGCAAAACAGUGC
rnacentral:rRNA from 1 species